AGAACGAACGCUGGCGGCAGGCCUAACACAUGCAAGUCGAACGGAAAGGCCCGCUUGCGGGUACUCGAGUGGCGAACGGGUGAGUAACACGUGGGCAACCUGCCCCCAGCUCUGGGAUAACUCCGGGAAACCGGUGCUAAUACUGGAUAUCGACUUCUGCCUCGCAUGGGGUGUUGUUGAAAGUUUUUCGGCUGGGGAUGGGCCCGCGGCCUAUCAGCUUGUUGGUGGGGUGAUGGCCUACCAAGGCGACGACGGGUA
rnacentral:rRNA from 1 species